rnacentral:snRNA from 1 species
AUCACUUCUUGGCCUUUUGGCUAAGAUCAAGUGUAGUAUCUGUAUUUGUUGUAUCUGUAUUUGUUGAAAUGUUCUAUAUCUUGAUCUGGAUUGUGCAUACACAGAUAUAAGCAUGUGUAAAAACAUAAAUAACAA